rnacentral:rRNA from 1 species
UACGUAGGGUGCGAGCGUUAAUCGGAAUUACUGGGCGUAAAGCGUGCGCAGGCGGUGAUGUAAGACAGGUGUGAAAUCCCGGGGCUCAACCUCGGAACUGCAUUUGUGACUGCAUCGCUGGAGUGCGGCAGAGGGGGAUGGAAUUCCGCGUGUAGCAGUGAAAUGCGUAGAUAUGCGGAGGAACACCGAUGGCGAAGGCAAUCCCCUGGGCCUGCACUGACGCUCAUGCACGAAAGCGUGGGGAACAAACAGG